rnacentral:snRNA from 1 species
UUGCUUGUUUUGGUAGCACAUAUACUAAAAUUGGAACAAUACAGAGAUUAGCAUGGCCUCUGCACAAGGAUGAUACACAAAUUUGUGGAGUGUUCCAUCAAAAA